GGCAUAACCCCGGGAAACUGGGGAUAAUUCCGGAUAACGCACAUAUGCUGGAAUGCUUUAUGCGUAAAAUGGAUUCGUCUGCCCAAGGAUGGGUCUGCGGCCUAUCAGGUAGUAGUGGGUGUAAUGUACCUACUAGCCAACAACGGGUACGGGUUGUGAGAGCAAGAGCCCGGAGAUGGAUUCUGAGACAUGAAUCCAGGCCCUACGGGGCGCAGCAGGCGCGAAAACUUUACAAUGCGGGAAACCGUGAUAAGGGGACACCGAGUGCCAGCGUCAUACGCUGGCUGUCCAGGUGUGUAAAAUACACCUGUUAGCAAGGGCCGGGCAAGACCGGUGCCAGCCGCCGCGGUAACACCGGCGGCCCGAGUGGUGAUCGUGAUUAUUGGGUCUAAAGGGUCCGUAGCCGGUUUGGUCAGUCCUCCGGGAAAUCUGAUAGCUCAACUAUUAGGCUUUCGGGGGAUACUGCCAGACUUGGAACCGGGAGAGGUAAGAGGUACUACAGGGGUAGGAGUGAAAUCUUGUAAUCCCUGUGGGACCACCUGUGGCGAAGGCGUCUUACCAGAACGGGUUCGACGGUGAGGGACGAAAGCUGGGGGCACGAACCGGAUUAGAUACCCGGGUAGUCCCAGCCGUAAACGAUGCUCGCUAGGUGUCAGGCAUGGCGCGACCGCGUCUGGUGCCGCAGGGAAGCCGUGAAGCGAGCCACCUGGGAAGUACGGCCGCAAGGCUGAAACUUAAAGGAAUUGGCGGGGGAGCACACGGCUCAGUAACACGUAUUAUAGGAAUUGGCGGGGGAGCAC
rnacentral:rRNA from 1 species